rnacentral:sRNA from 1 species
UCUUUCACGGAGGAUACUGGCAGAGCGGAAGGCUUUUUCCUGGUGAGUGGGGUCUUUGACCUGGAGCCCAUCGUGUAUACUUCACAGAACGUUGCUCUCCAGCUGACCCUGGAGGACGCUCAGAGGAACAGCCCCCAGCUGAAGGUGGCCCAGGCGCAACCGGCGGACCCCACCUGCCGUGUGCUGGUGGUUGUGGGCCAAUUCGACUCCCCCGAAUUCCACCGACAGUCCUGGGAGUUUUACCAGACCCUGUGUCAAGGAGAGUGGAAAGCCUCGUUUGAAGAGCUCCAUGAUGUGGACCACUUUGAAAUCGUUGAGAAUCUGACCCAGAAGGACAACGUGCUUACCCAGAUUAUCUUGAAAACAAUCUUCCAGUAGUUCUGACGAUACCUGGAGCCUGGUCCACAUGCAUCCCACCUUGGGAAGCCUCUCCAAAGAGCUUUUGGAUCUGAAGCUGACAGCUUCAGUUUCCCCCAGCACCCAGGAGAGCCUU